AUUGAACGCUGGCGGCAGGCCUAACACAUGCAAGUCGAGCGGAAGAAGGGUGCUUGCUUGUGGUUUCAGCGGCGGACGGGCGGGUAAUGCAUAGGAAUCUCCCUGUCAGCGGGGGCGAACGGCCGGAAACGGGCGCUAAUACCGCAUAAGCCCAGAGGGCGAACGUGGGGAAUCAUCGGACCUUACGCCCUCAGAUGAGCCUAGGACGGGUUAGCUAGUUGGCGGGGUAAAGGCGUACCAAGGCGACGAUCCGUAGCUGGUCUGAGAGGAUGAUCAGCCACACUGGAACUGAGACACGGUCCAGACUCCUACGGGAGGCAGCAGUGGGGAAUAUUGGACAAUGGGCGAAAGCCUGAUCCAGCCAUGCCGCGUGUGUGAAGAAGGUCUUCGGAUUGUAAAGCACUUUUAUUGGGGAAGAAGAGCAGUAAGUUAAUACCUUGCUGUUUUGACGUUACCAACAGAAUAAGCACCGGCUAACUUCGUG
rnacentral:rRNA from 1 species